rnacentral:rRNA from 1 species
UAGGGAAUCUUCCACAAUGGACGAAAGCCUGAUGGAGCAACACCGCGUGAGUGAAGAAGGGUUUCGGCUCGUAAAACACUGUUGUAAGAGAAGAAUGACAUUGAGAGUAACUGUUCAAUGUGUGACGGUAUCUUACCAGAAAGGAACGGCUAAAUACGUGCCAG